GGGUUGUGAGGUUAAGCGACUAAGCGUACACGGUGGAUGCCCUGGCAGUCAGAGGCGAUGAAGGGCGUGCUAAUCUGCGAUAAGCGCCGGUAAGGUGAUAUGAACCGUUAUAACCGGCGAUACCCGAAUGGGGAAACCCAGUGUGACUCGUCACACUAUCAUUAACUGAAUCCAUAGGUUAAUGAGGCGAACCGGGGGAACUGAAACAUCUAAGUACCCCGAGGAAAAGAAAUCAACCGAGAUUCCCCCAGUAGCGGCGAGCGAACGGGGAGGAGCCCAGAGCCUGAAUCAGCAUGUGUGUUAGUGGAAGCGUCUGGAAAGGCGCGCGAUACAGGGUGACAGCCCCGUACACAAAAGCGCAUGUGCUGUGAGCUCGAUGAGUAGGGCGGGACACGUGGUAUCCUGUCUGAAUAUGGGGGGACCAUCCUCCAAGGCUAAAUACUCCUGACUGACCGAUAGUGAACCAGUACCGUGAGGGAAAGGCGAAAAGAACCCCGGCGAGGGGAGUGAAAAAGAACCUGAAACCGUGUACGUACAAGCAGUGGGAGCACAGGUUUACCUGUGUGACUGCGUACCUUUUGUAUAAUGGGUCAGCGACUUAUAUUCUGUAGCAAGGUUAACCGAAUAGGGGAGCCGGAGGGAAACCGAGUCUUAAUUGGGCGUUAAGUUGCAGGGUAUAGACCCGAAACCCGGUGAUCUAGCCAUGGGCAGGUUGAAGGUUGGGUAACACUAACUGGAGGACCGAACCGACUAAUGUUGAAAAAUUAGCGGAUGACCUGUGGCUGGGGGUGAAAGGCCAAUCAAACCGGGAGAUAGCUGGUUCUCCCCGAAAGCUAUUUAGGUAGCGCCUCGUGAAUUCAUCUCCGGGGGUAGAGCACUGUUUCGGCUAGGGGGCCAUCCCGGCUUACCAACCCGAUGCAAACUGCGAAUACCGGAGAAUGUUAUCACGGGAGACACACGGCGGGUGCUAACGUCCGUCGUGAAGAGGGAAACAACCCAGACCGCCAGCUAAGGUCCCAAAGUCAUGGUUAAGUGGGAAACGAUGUGGGAAGGCCCAGACAGCCAGGAUGUUGGCUUAGAAGCAGCCAUCAUUUAAAGAAAGCGUAAUAGCUCACUGGUCGAGUCGGCCUGCGCGGAAGAUGUAACGGGGCUAAACCAUGCACCGAAGCUGCGGCAGCGACGCUGAUGCGUUGUUGGGUAGGGGAGCGUUCUGUAAGCCUGCGAAGGUGGCCUGUGAGGGUUGCUGGAGGUAUCAGAAGUGCGAAUGCUGACAUAAGUAACGAUAAAGCGGGUGAAAAGCCCGCUCGCCGGAAGACCAAGGGUUCCUGUCCAACGUUAAUCGGGGCAGGGUGAGUCGACCCCUAAGGCGAGGCCGAAAGGCGUAGUCGAUGGGAAACGGGUUAAUAUUCCCGUACUUGGUGUUACUGCGAAGGGGGGACGGAGAAGGCUAUGUUGGCCGGGCGACGGUUGUCCCGGUUUAAGCGUGUAGGUGUGUGUUCCAGGUAAAUCCGGUUCACUUUAACACUGAGGCGUGAUGACGAGGCACUACGGUGCUGAAGCAACAAAUGCCCUGCUUCCAGGAAAAGCCUCUAAGCAUCAGGUAACAUCAAAUCGUACCCCAAACCGACACAGGUGGUCAGGUAGAGAAUACCAAGGCGCUUGAGAGAACUCGGGUGAAGGAACUAGGCAAAAUGGUGCCGUAACUUCGGGAGAAGGCACGCUGACACGUAGGUGAAGUGAUUUACUCAUGGAGCUGAAGUCAGUCGAAGAUACCAGCUGGCUGCAACUGUUUAUUAAAAACACAGCACUGUGCAAACACGAAAGUGGACGUAUACGGUGUGACGCCUGCCCGGUGCCGGAAGGUUAAUUGAUGGGGUCAGCGCAAGCGAAGCUCCUGAUCGAAGCCCCGGUAAACGGCGGCCGUAACUAUAACGGUCCUAAGGUAGCGAAAUUCCUUGUCGGGUAAGUUCCGACCUGCACGAAUGGCGUAAUGAUGGCCAGGCUGUCUCCACCCGAGACUCAGUGAAAUUGAACUCGCUGUGAAGAUGCAGUGUACCCGCGGCAAGACGGAAAGACCCCGUGAACCUUUACUAUAGCUUGACACUGAACAUUGAGCCUUGAUGUGUAGGAUAGGUGGGAGGCUUUGAAGUGUGGACGCCAGUCUGCAUGGAGCCGACCUUGAAAUACCACCCUUUAAUGUUUGAUGUUCUAACGUGGACCCGUGAUCCGGGUUGCGGACAGUGUCUGGUGGGUAGUUUGACUGGGGCGGUCUCCUCCUAAAGAGUAACGGAGGAGCACGAAGGUUGGCUAAUCCUGGUCGGACAUCAGGAGGUUAGUGCAAUGGCAUAAGCCAGCUUGACUGCGAGCGUGACGGCGCGAGCAGGUGCGAAAGCAGGUCAUAGUGAUCCGGUGGUUCUGAAUGGAAGGGCCAUCGCUCAACGGAUAAAAGGUACUCCGGGGAUAACAGGCUGAUACCGCCCAAGAGUUCAUAUCGACGGCGGUGUUUGGCACCUCGAUGUCGGCUCAUCACAUCCUGGGGCUGAAGUAGGUCCCAAGGGUAUGGCUGUUCGCCAUUUAAAGUGGUACGCGAGCUGGGUUUAGAACGUCGUGAGACAGUUCGGUCCCUAUCUGCCGUGGGCGCUGGAGAACUGAGGGGGGCUGCUCCUAGUACGAGAGGACCGGAGUGGACGCAUCACUGGUGUUCGGGUUGUCAUGCCAAUGGCACUGCCCGGUAGCUAAAUGCGGAAGAGAUAAGUGCUGAAAGCAUCUAAGCACGAAACUUGCCCCGAGAUGAGUUCUCCCUGAGACUUAGAGUCUCCUGAAGGAACGUUGAAGACGACGACGUUGAUAGGCCGGGUGUGUAAGCGCAGCGAUGCGUUGAGCUAACCGGUACUAAUGAACCGUGAGGCUUAACCUUACAACGCCGAAG
rnacentral:rRNA from 9 species